UAAGAUUUUAAGUUAAACAUAAACUAGAAGCCUUCAAAGCUUAAAAUAAAUGAACCUUUUAAAUCUUAA
rnacentral:tRNA from 1 species